rnacentral:rRNA from 1 species
GAUGAACGCUGGCGGCGUGCCUAAUACUUGCAAGUCGAGCGAAUGGAUUAAGAGCUUGCUCUUAUGAAGUUAGCGGCGGACGGGUGAGUAACACGUGGGUAACCUGCCCAUAAGACUGGGAUAACUCCGGGAAACCGGGGCUAAUACCGGAUAACAUUUUGAACCGCAUGGUUCGAAAUUGAAAGGCGGCUUCGGCUGUCACUUAUGGAUGGACCCGCGUCGCAUUAGCUAGGUGGUGAGGUAACGGCUCACCAAGGCAACGAUGCGUAGCCGACCUGAGAGGGUGAUCGGCCACACUGGGACUGAGACACGGCCCAGACUCCUACGGGAGGCAGCAGUAGGGAAUCUUCCGCAAUGGACGAAAGUCUGACGGAGCAACGCCGCGUGAGUGAUGAAGGCUUUCGGGUCGUAAAACUCUGUUGUUAGGGAAGAACAAGUGCUAGUUGAAUAAGCUGGCACCUUGACGGUACCUAACCAGAAAGCCACGGCUAGCUACGUGCCAGCAGCCGCGGUAA